UCUACAUUUUUAUUAUUGGAGAUUGGAUAUCUUGCUUGUCUACUUUGUCAGUUUUUUAAAUUUAAGUGGUGAUGCAUUUGUGGUACUUAAGCUAGGUUGAUUUUGUUUGGUUGCUUCUUGGUGAAACGUGCUUUUGAGUAGUCUUGCUCUUUAUAAAAUUUUUCAUUUUUCCUUUAGAAGUAAAAUCUUAUAAUUUAUAAUUAUCCCAAACUACGUAGCUGGAAUUCUGUUUUUCAGUUUGCUCAUGUGGUCAUCUUUCAUGUAGCACUUGUACAUUUGUCUUCUUGUCUAUUGAUGUUUUUUUUGCUUCUAGUGGAACCUGGUUUUGUUGUGCUAGCCGCUCUAUUUCUAGUUUGGAUUGUCACAUUGUCUGUAUGUAGGAAGCAAGAAUUUUUUUUUUUUUUGGUGUGGUACUUCACAGCUUAAGCAGGUGAGUUUGGCAAUAAACUCUCUUUUUCUUCCCCUUUGUUUUUCUCUCUUUCAAGCAUAAUAAUUUUAUGGAUACAUUUUUGUUGUUUUAAUUCUGUCUAAUACUUGGGUUUGUGACUAAAUUUCCUAGGUUUCAUUUUCGUGAAGAAUUAUAAUUCCAAGUCUUGCAAAGUGAGGGUUUGAAAUUUCUAUUGCAAUUUUUCUUCCUUUGUCUUGCUGUCUUAUUUUAUUUUUGGUCAUUAUGUGUUGGAAACUUCAGUAAUGAAUUCACAGCUUAAUCUGACAAUGCUUAUUAUUGCUGUAGUCCACGAUUAUAAUCGUAGCGUGUCUUGAAUAUGUUUUAUGAGGGAAAGCUUUUGCUUUCUCAUCCUAUAACACGAGUUAGGCUUUCUAGGAAUGAGUUGGUGCAUGGUUUCUUUUUAAAGCAUUUGUUGAGGGACAGGUAGAUUAAGAAUGGUCCGGGUAUGGCUUCAUUCCAUUUAUUUAAUAGAUUUGGGUGCGUGGUUUAUUUAUUUUUUUAAAGGUGUUUGUUGCAGCAAGCUUCUGUAGAUCAAUAUUUUUUGCUACAAAUCUGUAGAUCAAUUUGUUUCUUCUAUUGGAGCAUAAUACAUGAAGUUUCCUUUCCCUUAGUGUUGUAGCUGGCCGGUAAUUAUGGGCCUAAAAUUUAGAACUUUUUUCUUGUUCUCUUAAUUUCACUUUUUGCGCAUACAUCUUUUAAUAUAUUGUUCCUUGAAUGGAAUCCUUGUUCCUUGUUGCACCAAACUUCUGUAGAGAUUGAUUGAUGCUGAAUGUGGUUUAAUUUGGGGCCAUUUUAUGUUUGCAAGGUCAUCGCUUAUUUGAAUGUGGUAAUUUCUCUUAUUGGUAUGGUGCCGGUAGAAUGAUGCUGAUCGUGUGGUUGCCCAGGUAGAGUUCUUUGGGUUAUUGGUUUGUCCUGUUAUUGGCAUGACUUAGGCUUUUUGUGAAUCAAAUUCUUUUAACAUGCACAUUUGGUUUAUCAAUUAUUUGUACAAAUUCUGUGAAUCAAAUUCUUUUAAUCUAUGUAUCUGGUUUUUGCAUCAUUAUUUGUAAAAAUGGUAUGUUGAUUGAUUGAUUUCCUGGUCAUAGAAAUGUUUGAGUAGAUGCCAUCCGUGUCGAAUCAAGACUUCCCCCUCCUUUCCUUAUAAAAAACUGAAGUUUAAAAUGGAGGAAAAAAUUAAGCACAUGGCAUAUUAGUUCAAUUUGUGGAAAAAAAACACUAAAAAUAGUAUAUUUCUAUUAUUACACUUGGGUAGGUUAGAAAUAGUGACAAAUAAAAGGAUUAUGAAUAGAAAUCUUCUUAAAAAAUACUUUUUUUUUCCUAUAGAUAAUCUCUUGAUGAAGCUGGUUAUCGUUUUUUUGAGAAAUUGCAGAGGGAGACGGUAUUGAUUUAUUGCUUUAUUGUGUACGCCACUUGUGGAAGAGAGGUUUACAUUUAGAACUAUAUGGACUUCUCUUCUAUCGCAACUAAACUACAAGAGUUUUCUAUGUUUGUGACAAGGCUUUGGUUUUCAAGAGCACUAUAAAUUCUGGUUCCCUCAGUAAGGGUUGAUACUUCCAUUGCAUCUCUUGUCUUGUAUAAUAUUUGGUAACACUCUUAUUGGUGUGGGCUUUCUAUGAAAUAUAUAUCAUAAUCUGGUUGCUGAUUGAUGUCAUAGAAAGUGGGUGAGAAGAUACUCUUCUUAGUCUGAACUAUUCUGGAUUCAUAUUUAUCAACUGAGGUACAUAUGCUUUUUCAAAAGCUGGUGAUGUCCGUUUUGUGAGGACAAUUUUUUAUCAUUUUGAUGAUCUUGAUAUGUAUUGUAAUUUGGAGUUGGGCUUUAUUCACUUUAACUAUAAAUAAAACUAUGUUAUUCUAUUGUUUUCAUGUUUUUAUUUUAUUUUUUUAUAAGUCUUUCAAUAUAUCGUUCCCUACUAUACAUUCUCUAUUCCAUUUAUUUUAUAGAUUUUGGUCUUCAGCAGCUGUUUUAAGGUGUUUGCACCAUAGGUUACGAUUACCAAGGAGCUAAUUCGUUCAGAAAGGUUUGCAUCAUAGUUCAUAACCUUAGAUUGCUGCUGAUUGAUGUCAUAGAAAGUGGGUGAGAAGAUAGUGUUCUUAGUCUGAAGUAUUCUGGAUUCAUAUUUAUCAACUGAGGUAACAUAUGUUUUUUCAGAAGUUGGAGAUGUUUGUUGUGUAGAUUUGUGAGGACAAUUUUUUAUCAUUUUGAUCUUGAUAUGUGUACAGCAGUCAAAAUUGUAAAUUAAAAAAAAAAAAAAAAAUCUUUAUGUAAUUCUAUUGAUGUCAGGUGUUUUUUUUUUGUCUUCAAUAUACUGUUCCCUACUAUACAUUCUCUAUUCUAUUUAUUCUAUAGAUUUUGGUCCUCAGCAGCAA